UUUUUUAUAUAUAAAAAUUUUGCAAAUUGUAUUAUUCUCUAAUACAUUUAUAUUUUAUAGUUUAAUUUUAUAUAUAGUAACAUUAUACAUACCACAUAACAUUUUUGGUUCUAUAUAAUUUUUCUAAAUUAGGAUGAUUUGAUAUGUUUAAUAUUAGUGGUCUUAAAAAAUAAUAAAUUAAAGAUUUAACCCAUAUUGAAACGGUAAAUUAAUUAUAUUUUACUUUUUUAUUAAUGUUGAUUCAAAAACUCGUUCCUCCAAAUCCGUCUUGCCAAAAAGUCAUUUAUUUUAUUAAUAUUAGUUUUAUUAAUGAUAUGACUCUGAAUUAUAAUCUAAACAUUUUAGCUAAUAACAUAGGAGUGCACCAUAUUUAUUUAAUAGAGGAAUGUACCAUAUGACCCGAAUGCAUUUUUAUCCAAAUCCACCAAAAAAGUCUUGCAAAAAUACUAUAGAGAUAAAAAACGAUAGUCGGUUUUGAUAGAUAUAAGAUUAGCAAAUAUAUUAGUUAGCUUAAAUUAGUUAAAGAAUACAAAUUAAAAAGGUAUAUUACACUUUAUUCAAAUAUAGUAUCAAAACUUAUAUAACACAGAGAUUUGAUAAUUUUUUAAUUGUUGAAUACUUUUUUUUGUGCUAAUUUUAUGUGAUUAAGAUUUAAUUGAUUUCGUAUAUAUAAUAUUAAAUUGACUUAUUUGUUUAUAAUUUGGUAACAGAUAGAUAUUUGAAUAUUCAGUAUAUUUUGCUUCAGUUUAGGAAAUCUUUGAUGACCCGUCUUUAGAUCCAAUAAGUCCUAUAAUCUAGAGAUUAAUCUGCAGUAUACCGCAGGUAGGCUUAUAUUUUAGUUAAACUAAAAACUUUUAUUGUAAAGAUGAUUUAAAAAUAUAUAAU
rnacentral:sRNA from 1 species